CAGACCUGGGUGACACAGAGACCCCACAGACCCCACGGGUGUCACACAGACCCCACAGGUGACACAGAGACCCCACAGACCCCACAGGUGUCACACAGAGCCCAUGGGUGUCACACAGACCCCACAGACCCAUGGGUGACACACAGACCCCACGGGUGACACACAGAGCCCACAGGUGUCACACGCACCCCACAGACCCCACAGGUGACACACAGAGCCCACAGACCCCACGGGUGUCACACAGAGCCCACAGGUGACACACAGACCCCACAGACACCGCCCUGUCACCCACGGGGGUCACAGAGAACCCACAGACCCCACGGGUGACACACAGAGACCCCACGGGUGACACACAGAGCCCACAGACCCCACGGGUGACACACAGACCCCACAGGUGACACACAGACCCCACGGGUGACACACACCCCACGGGUGACACACAGAGCCCACAGGUGACACACAGACCCCACGGGUGUCACACACACCCCACAGACCCCACGGGUGACACACAGACCCCACGGGUGACACACAGACCCCACAGACCCCACUGUGCCCAUGGGGUGUCACUGAGAGCCCACAGACACCUCCCUGUCACCCAUGGGGGUCACAGAGAACCCACGGACCCCACAGGUGUCACACAGACCCCACAGCACCCAUGGGUGACACACAGACCCCACAGCACCCACGGGUGUCACACAGACCCCACAGACACCUCCCUGUCACCCACGGGGGUCACACAGACCCCACAGCACCCAUGGGAUGAACCCACUGGAAAUCCCUCCAGGAUCAUUUCCCAUGGGACGAACCCACUGGAGAUCCAUCCCAGACCAUUUCCCAUGGGGUGAACCCACUGGAAAUCCAUCUGUGGGAUGAACCCCCUGCAGAUCCAUCCAGGAUCAUCUCCCAUGGGAUGAACCCCCUGCAGAUCCCUCCAGGAUCAUCUCCCAUGGGAUGAACCCCCUGCAGAUCCAUCCAUGGGAUGAACCCCCUGCAGAUCCCUCCAGGAUCAUCUCCCAUGGGAUGAACCCCCUGCAGAUCCAUCCAGGAUCAUCUCCCAUGGGAUGAACCCCCUGCAGAUCCAUCCAGGAUCAUCUCCCAUGGGAUGAACCCCUGCAGAUCCAUCCAGGAUCAUCUCCCAUGGGAUGAACCCCCUGCAGAUCCAUCCAGGAUCAUCUCCCAUGGGAUGAACCCCCUGCAGAUCCCUCCAGGAUCAUCUCCCAUGGGAUGAACCCCCUGCAGAUCCAUCCAUGGGAUGAACCCCCUGCAGAUCCAUCCAUGGGAUGAACCCCCUGCAGAUCCAUCCAGGAUCAUCUCCCACGGGAUUCCCCCCCCUUAAAUCUCUCUCAAGGCUCAACAUUCCCAUUUUUUCCCGGGAAUUCCCACCUG